UACUUGACUCAAUUAAGACAACAAUAACAACUACCAUGUGAGAACACAAGAGGUUUCAGACCAAGACCAGUCAUGUUUUGUCAAACCAAGAAAAGGUUAAGGAGGUUAUGGGAGAGAUAGAGAAGGCUGGAAACCAGUACUCAAAAGCAGUGCGUUUGAUGGUAUUCCUUCUAGUGGAAGCACCAAUGCUGAUUCUGAACCCUCCAUUGUCUCUCACAAACUCAGACAGGUACCGUCUCAGAAAAUAUAUAGAUAUCCAUAGUAGAAGAUUAGAACAUCUGUAGUCGCAUAGGAGAAGCUCGGGAUCUCAUAUGCAGGGAUCAUCAUCAUCUGCCAUGAUGAACAAACAAUCAUAGAGUGACUCGGUUUGGUUUCUCAUGUUUCUUGUUCUGUUUUUUUUCGAAAAGAGACUUUGGUGGAUAUGAUGUGUGAGUUGUGAUGGUUGUUGUAACAUGUUCCUUGUUCUAUCUUUGAUCCU